rnacentral:tRNA from 2 species
GCGGAUAUGGUGCAAUGGCUAGCAUGUGAGGCUUCCAACCUUUUGAUACGGGUUCGAGUCCCGUUAUCCGCU